UACGUAGGGGGCAAGCGUUAUCCGGAAUUACUGGGUGUAAAGGGUGAGUAGGCGUCAUGGUAAGCCAGAUGUGAAAGCCUUGGGCUUAACCCAUAAACUGCUUUUGAAACUGUGGAGCUUGAGUGAAGUAGAGGUAGGCGGAAUUCCCGGUGUAGCGGUGAAAUGCGUAGAGAUCGGGAGGAACACCAGUGGCGAAGGCGGCCUACUGGGCUUUAACUGACGCUGAGGCACGAAAGCGUGGGUAGCAAACAGG
rnacentral:rRNA from 1 species